UACGUAGGGUGCGAGCGUUAAUCGGAAUUACUGGGCGUAAAGCGUGCGCAGGCGGUUCUAUAAGACAGAUGUGAAAUCCCCGGGCUCAACCUGGGAAUGGCAUUUGGGACUGUAGAGCUAGAGUACGGCAGAGGGGGAUGGAAUUCCGCGUGUAGCAGUGAAAUGCGUAGAUAUGCGGAGGAACACCGAUGGCGAAGGCAAUCCCCGGGACCUGUACUGACGCUCAUGCACGAAAGCGUGGGGAGCAAACAGA
rnacentral:rRNA from 1 species